GAUGGCAUUCAUAAUCAAGAACGGUCGAGGCAAGAAAGCCCAAAUGCUACCACCACCUCCCUAUAUGCCACCGUGUUAAACGCUUCUUGUUUGUUUAGCAUAUGUUAUGCCAAUUAUUUGGUUGUAUUAUUAAUUUAUUAUUGUAUGAUUUGCAAGGAUACUGUAAUCCUAGUUCUGCUAUUAUAUUGUAAGCUGGGAAAUAUCCUAGGUGCAUGUAGGUUUUGAUUAUUUCUAUUUCGUAGCCGCAGUACCGGCCUCUGCAAUAAAACUCAUACCUGCAUGAAUAAAUAUUUUCAUGGGUGAUCACCCCUCUUAAGGCUUUAUAUAAUUUGUACCUAUAAUCUAGAUGAUUAGCGUGUGUGUGUGGGAUCGUUAAGUUUUUUCAAAAACGAUUUUUUUUUAAUACUUUUGGGAGCACUCGAAACAAAGGCAACAGAUCGUGUGG
rnacentral:lncRNA from 1 species